rnacentral:rRNA from 1 species
UGGCUAACUCCUACGGGAGGCAGCAGUGGGGAAUAUUGCACAAUGGGGGAAACCCUGAUGCAGCCAUGCCGCGUGUGUGAAGAAGGCCUUCGGGUUGUAAAGCACUUUCAGCGAGGAGGAAAGGUUGAUGCCUAAUACGUAUCAACUGUGACGUUACUCGCAGAAGAAGCACCGGCUAACUCCGUGCCAGCAGCCGCGGUAAUACGGAGGGUGCAAGCGUUAAUCGGAAUUACUGGGCGUAAAGCGCACGCAGGCGGUUGGAUAAGUUAGAUGUGAAAGCCCCGGGCUCAACCUGGGAAUUGCAUUUAAAACUGUCCAGCUAGAGUCUUGUAGAGGGGGGUAGAAUUCCAGGUGUAGCGGUGAAAUGCGUAGAGAUCUGGAGGAAUACCGGUGGCGAAGGCGGCCCCCUGGACAAAGACUGACGCUCAGGUGCGAAAGCGUGGGGAGCAAACAGGAUUAGAUACCCCUGUAGUCCAGCUGG